CGUUAAUAUUCGUGGGCCAGUGGGAGUGUGACGGUGGCCGUAAGCGGUUCUUCCUUAUCGGAUUGGUAAGGGCCGCGAAGGACAUCCAGGAAAUAGCCCCCACAUGAGACCGUACCCGAAACCGACACAGGUGGAAUGGUAGAGAAUACCAAGGCGCUUGAGAGAACUGUUCUGAAGGAACUCGGCAAAUUGCAUCCGUAACUUCGGGAGAAGGAUGCCCCAUUUUUAGGCAACUAGAGAUGGGGGACACAAACCAGUGGUAGCGACUGUUUAUCUAAAACACAGGGCUCUGCGAAAUCGUAAGAUGACGUAUAGGGUCUGACGCCUGCCCGGUGCCGGAAGGUUAAAAGGAGAUGUGCAAGCAUUGAAUUGAAGCCCCGGUAAACGGCGGCCGUAACCAUAACGGUCCUAAGGUAGCGAAAUUCCUUGUCGGGUAAGUUCCGACCUGCACGAAUGGCGUAACGACUUCCACACUGUCUCCAGAGCAGGCUCAGCGAAAUUGAAUUCCCCGUGAAGAUGCGGGGUACCCGCGGUUAGACGGAAAGACCCUAUGAACCUUUACUAUAACUUUACAGUGGCAGCAUGAUUGUCACGUGCAGGAUAGGUGGGAACCUUUGAACCGGUGGCGCCAGCCAUCGGGGAGGUAACCUUGAGAUACCACCCUUGACUCUCGUGUUGUCUAACUUCGAUCCCUUAUCGGGAUUAAGGACCCUGUAUGGUGGGUAGUUUGACUGGGGCGGUCGCCUCCCAAAUUGUAACGGAGGCGCGCGAUGGUGAGCUCAGGACGGUCGGAAAUCGUCCAUCGAGUGCAUUGGCAUAAGCUCGCCUGACUGCAAGACUGACAAGUCGAGCAGAAACGAAAGUUGGUCAAAGUGAUCCGGUGGUCUCCAUAUGGAAGGGCCAUCGCUCAACGGAUAAAAGGUACUCUAGGGAUAACAGGCUGAUAGCGCCCAAGCGUCCACAGCGACGGCGCUGUUUGGCACCUCGAUGUCGGCUCAUCUCAUCCUGGGGCUGUAGAAGGUCCCAAGGGUAUGGCUGUUCGCCAUUUAAAGAGGUACGUGAGCUGGGUUCAGAACGUCGUGAGACAGUUCGGUCCCUAUCUGCCGUGGGUGUUGGAGUCUUGAGAGGAUCUGCCCUUAGUACGAGAGGACCGGGGUGGACGUACCUCUGGUGCACCAGUUGUCACGCCAGUGGCACAGCUGGGUAGCUAUGUACGGAACGGAUAAACGCUGAAGGCAUCUAAGCGUGAAACCGACCUCAAAACUAGGACUCCCUAUCAGAGCCGUCGAAGACUACGACGUUGAUAGGCCAGGUGUGGAAGAGCCGUGAGGCUUGAAGCUUACUGGUACUAAUUGCUCA
rnacentral:rRNA from 1 species